rnacentral:rRNA from 1 species
GGGUUGUGAGGUUAAGCGACUAAGCGUACACGGUGGAUGCCCUGGCAGUCAGAGGCGAUGAAGGACGUGCUAAUCUGCGAUAAGCGUCGGUAAGGUGAUAUGAACCGUUAUAACCGGCGAUUUCCGAAUGGGGAAACCCAGUGUGUUUCGACACACUAUCAUUAACUGAAUCCAUAGGUUAAUGAGGCGAACCGGGGGAACUGAAACAUCUAAGUACCCCGAGGAAAAGAAAUCAACCGAGAUUCCCCCAGUAGCGGCGAGCGAACGGGGAGCAGCCCAGAGCCUGAAUCAGUGUGUGUGUUAGUGGAAGCGUCUGGAAAGGCGCGCGAUACAGGGUGACAGCCCCGUACACAAAAAUGCACAUACUGUGAGCUCGAUGAGUAGGGCGGGACACGUGGUAUCCUGUCUGAAUAUGGGGGGACCAUCCUCCAAGGCUAAAUACUCCUGACUGACCGAUAGUGAACCAGUACCGUGAGGGAAAGGCGAAAAGAACCCCGGCGAGGGGAGUGAAAAAGAACCUGAAACCGUGUACGUACAAGCAGUGGGAGCACGCUUCGGCGUGUGACUGCGUACCUUUUGUAUAAUGGGUCAGCGACUUAUAUUCUGUAGCAAGGUUAACCGAAUAGGGGAGCCGAAGGGAAACCGAGUCUUAACUGGGCGUUAAGUUGCAGGGUAUAGACCCG